rnacentral:lncRNA from 10 species
CCAGCAUCCUUUUGCAAAGCAAGGCCCCCAUCUCUGUGCACCUCUAGGCUACCAUCUUGGAUCAGCCCCAACAGAACCUGGAACCAGAGCAUGUCAGAGCUUGUGAGGUUCUCCUCUCAGUGGGUGGUGAGUCACUCGCCACCCAUAUACCCAUGUCAGAGCCUCAGUUUUCUUUUCCCCAACUGCUCCUUCAUUCUCUCCCCUUCUCUAAUCUAAUUUGUCACCAUAGUCUCCUGUCUGGCCUCCUGAGAAUCUCCGUGAAUCUGUCUACUUCUCAGGGUCCUCAUGGCCAGCCACUGCCCUGAUGCAGGCCCUGACCAGGGAUGCUUUUCCCAAAUCUAGAUCUGAUGGAGUCACUGCCUGCUUGGCACCCAGAAGCAGCUCUCCAGGCCUUCUGGGGCUACUGAGAGUGAGAGACCUAGAGGGGUCUCUAGGACUCACCACACUCUGCCCAAAGCAGAUUAGGUGAACAAACUCCUUAAUCUGCAAGUCAAGAUCUUGGAGGACUUGGACCUUGAAUGCUCCAGUUUGUUUCGCUACCAUCCUCUGCACCUGGAGUUUCCCCACCAACUCACCCACCCAUUCUCACUUCUGUGCCUCUGCUGUUUCCUGGGCCUGGAAGCCCUUCUGUGUACCUUCCUCCGUGGACAACUCCUACUCAUCCGCUAAGACUCACCUCCUCCAGGUAGUCUUCCCUGACUCCCUGACCCCAACUAUGUACAUCUCCAAUUCUACACUUACCACCUUCUAGGCCCUGUUUUCCAUUUUCAGUUGCAAGAUGCAUUGUUGCAAGUUUCGACAGUGGGGAGUGAAGCCUCGUUACAUGUCAGCAUCAAUUGGAAAAUGCAUCCUGAUGUUGGAAAUGCUGAUAUAUAUAUUUAAAGAGGACAUACUGUCCCCCACUGUCACUGGUGCCCCUAGUUCAUCCUUUGCUCCCAGUGCCCACCACAGGACCCGACUCAAAGGCAUCAGUGUUUGAUGAGUGAAUGAAUGAGUGAAUGAGCUCUUGGAACACAUGGGUUUUGGGGUGGAACAAGGCCAGAUGCCACAACAUGAAGCCUC